UGCCGAGUGGUGAAAUUGGCAGACAUGCUAGGUUAAGGAUCUAGUGGAGCGAUCCGUGCAAGUUCAAAUCAUGUCUUGGCACC
rnacentral:tRNA from 1 species